GGAUCAUGUUGUCCCUCUAGGUCAGCCACAGCAGGACUUUUAGUUUGAAGUAAAGUAUUGUAUUUUACUUUACUCUUGGGCAGGAACGGGUCAAACAUGAAAUGGAAUUGAUUUGAUAUUGGUAUUGGGUGGUGGUAUCCUUAGCUUACAACAUGUGACUGGAACAGAAUGGACUGGCAACACAUAGUAUUAACACAGUACUUCCUCUUCCAUUGCCAGUUACUGUCCCUGUCGAACAUACAGUACAUACUACCAAUGCAAGGUCACAAAGGUGCCAAAGCUCAACAGGAAAAAUCACAUCAUUUGUUUAAAUUACCCCUCUUUCAUUUUAUGGUCUAAGCAAUUUACAAUUAUGUCAUACGUUUAUCCCUAAAGAUUUCUGAAAUCUCUUACCUUUCCCUGCUCCUUCCCAUGUUUCCCUCUCUCUCUAUCGAUCUCAGAUUGAGCACCUGGACCUGGUCCACCACAUGCUGGUCUAUGGCUGCCCCUUGUCUUUGAACCAGACCUACGUGCAGAAAUGCUUCACGGGGGGACCAGCGGACGAAUGCUUCAGAGUGGUGUUUGCCUGGGGUGUGGGAGGAGGGGCUUUCGAUCUUCCAGAAAUUCGCUGGCAUCCCUAUUGGAGGACAGGAUUAUGAUGACUUCUACAGGCUGGAUUAUCAUGCCACAAGCAAUGGAUUCCCCUUGGUGGAUGAGAAACAGAACUACACCCUCCUGACUGAGGAAGAUGGUCAAACCACAUUGACCUUCUGGAGGACCAUCCAAUCAUGUGACGAGGAAAACUUCCGCAUUACUGCGAGUCAACUGUUUCGCAGACAAACUGUUAAAAAGUAAAGCGAACUGAAAGCGCUGUAAUGGGAAUUGUAAUGUUUGUGCUUUUCUUAUAACUCAUUUCUGUGUUCUACUCAUGUGCUGUUCUUAUAACCAAGAUUGACUUCAAGUGUCCUUGUGUAAGAAUUUCCACAACAGUGCUAAAAGUAUUAAAGCGGAACAUCAUGUUCCCUUAUCAUUGACUUUCUAUUCAGAAAAGGUUUGCUAAUAUCGACUCAACCUAAAGCCUGCUGAGUAGUUGCCCUUUUACCUAAAUGCAUGUAUUCUGCAGAACGAAGUUAGAUAAGUUUCUCAAGGGAGGAUGGGCCAAAAUAUCCUUCCCCAGGAGGAAAUUUGUGCGUCGGUAAUAAUGGCAUAGCCUUUUAUACUAGACCAUGGAUCUCCAACCCUUUUCCUACAGAGCUACCGUUCUUCACUCCACUGUUUUUCACUCCAACCCUUAUCCAUCAUGCAUUUUUAAUCAGCUGUUUGGUAAGGUAAAUCGGGUGAGUUAUAAGAGGUUGGAGUGACCCUAAAGGUGGGUAGUUUUCCAGGAACAGUGUUGGAGUGACCCUAUAGGAGGGUACUCUCCAGGAACAGUGUUGGAGAGCCCUGCGCUGGACCAUUGUUUCCUGGGUUCACGUUUAGAUUUUUGCCCUAGAAAUCCACAACUGAUUCAAAUAACCAACUAAUCAAGCUUAGACUAUUUGAAUCGGCUGUAGUGCUAGGGUAAAAACUGGGACACAGGACUGAGUUUGAGGGGGGGACUGUGCUAGUGUUGCAUCGACCUACUGAUUAUUUUAUUUGUAGUAAUUUGCAAAAAACGACAGCAUGAACACAGGGACGCUUGCAAACAUUCUCAAAAGUGAGCUGUUGUAACCCUACAUAGUUCCCGAGGUAUUCAGAAAUCUAUGCAGUUUAAAUAGCCUUAUUAAAGACAGUGGCAUCAUAA